rnacentral:miRNA from 1 species
AGAGAUCAUUCGACAGGUCCAA